AUUGUACAUGUCUAUUUGUUGUGUUAUCGGAUUCAUUGUCAUUUUGUUGUUACAGUGACUCGUUGUCCCUUCAUUUAUGUAAUUGGUUACUAAACAAUUGCUAGUAAAAGUUAGUUGAUGUUGUUUUCCCAAGUCUUCAACAGAGGGGACGUGUUUAUUCUAAUAUUGUACAAACUCAGUCCUUUUUGAUGUUAAAUUGGCUGUCUCUGAUAGUCCUGUUAAUGUGUUCACUCUUCUUUGUAAGAAUUAUAAUUAUCUAAACUUGCCUGUUUAACAG